AGCAGGUUAGGUCCACGGCGUAUGUUGCCGCAGCAACUAACUCUCGGUUGCGCUGAACCUGCUACUUGAAACGGAAAAUCCAGAGUUUCCACUAACUCAGAGCGAACAAACUCGGGGUUGCCUCAAAACCAGCUACCUGAAACAGGCCUCUGUUGACCUCGCUCAUUACUGCCUUUAAUAUGGGUCUCUGUGAUGCUCUUGUCCCGUCCCUGAUCUUUAUACAAGUAACUAGCAGUGCCAAGUGCCCAACCAACCAGUCUCUUGAAAGCUGUGGAGGAAAUGAUUAAGGAAAUGUGCUACCUGACCAACACAAGCCACUUGGUCCCUGAAGUCACUAAGGAGGUGAUGGAUAUUGCACAGGCCAUUCAGGACGUAUACAACUUGCCCCGGGCCGAUGGCGGGAUGCUUUGUCCCAGC